UUCCAGAAUGGUCCCUGGAGUAUAAUGAGAUGAUCUGGACAGAAAUGAGGAUGAAUUAUGGACAUAAUUUCAGUAUAUUCAUGGAUUUAUGAUAAAUUUUAGUUUGGUCCUCCAAUUUGACAAAAGUUGCAAUUUAACCCUUAAGAAUAUGAUAAAUUACAGAUUAGUCCCUAGCUGUAAUAUUAUUUUUUUCAGAUUAUUUUGAUGAAUAAUUGAGGGUUAUUUAGUGAAUUAUUACCAAUUUUAUUAAUUGUUUUAUUAUGGAUUAGAUUUCGGGAAAACCGUUAAAUGUUGGGUUUUUAGGAAAGAUAACUAGUUAGUUCAAAAAUAUAUAGGGUUAUGGAAUACACCCUUAGAUAAGUGUAUUAAAUAGGUUAUAUAUAUUCUUUUGAGUCAUUCUUAAAUAUGUCUCCUUUAUAUUCAGAUAAUCCUGAUAUUCUACCGGCGGGACGUCAGUAGGAUUUUCUUCGAUAUCAGCUUUGAGUUUUGUUGCUUUUGAGUCAGGCUUAUAGCUUGAUAGCAGGUCAUUUUGUUGGACCUUCAGAACCUGCUCUUUUGGUAGUAAUUUGUACCUUUCCUUUAUGUCUAGUUAGUGCUCCAAAACUCUGAACUUUUAUAAACUUUUGUAUUAAGACAAUUCAAUUAUAUUAUGAAGUUGAUUUUGUUAUUAA